UGCCAGACUCCUACGGGAGGCAGCAGUGAGGAAUAUUGGUCAAUGGGCGGAAGCCUGAACCAGCCAAGUCGCGUGAGGGAAGAAGGCCCUGCGGGUCGCAGACCUCUUUGGACGGGGAGCAAGGCCGCCGACGUGUCGGCGGAAGGAGGGUACCCGUAGAACAAGCAUCGGCUAACUCCGUGCCAGCAGCCGCGGUAAUACGGAGGAUGCGAGCGUUAUCCGGAUUUAUUGGGUUUAAAGGGUGCGCAGGCGGCACGGCAAGCCGGCGGUCAAAUCGCGGGGCUCAACCCCGCCCAGCCGUCGGAACUGCCGGGCUAGAGUGGGCGAGAAGUGCGCGGAAUGCGUGGUGUAGCGGUGAAAUGCAUAGAUAUCACGAAGAACCCCGAUUGCGAAGGCAGCUUACUAAACUGUGACUGACAUUGAUGCUCGAAAGUGUGGGUAUCAAACAGGAUUAGAUACCCCAGUAGA
rnacentral:rRNA from 1 species